rnacentral:rRNA from 1 species
AUUGAACGCUGGCGGCAUGCCUUACACAUGCAAGUCGAACGGCAGCACGGGUGCUUGCACCUGGUGGCGAGUGGCGAACGGGUGAGUAAUAUAUCGGAACGUACCUUAUCGUGGGGGAUAACGCAGCGAAAGCUGCGCUAAUACCGCAUACGCCCUGAGGGGGAAAGCGGGGGACCGUAAGGCCUCGCGCGAUUAGAGCGGCCGAUAUCUGAUUAGCUUGUUGGUGGGGUAAAGCCCACCAAGGCGACGAUCAGUAGCUGGUCUGAGAGGACGAUCAGCCACACUGGGACUGAGACACGGCCCAGACUCCUACGGGAGGCAGCAGUGGGGAAUUUUGGACAAUGGGGGGCAACCCUGAUCCAGCAAUGCCGCGUGAGUGAAGAAGGCCUUCGGGUUGUAAGCUCUUUGUCAGGGAGAAACAGCAGCUCUAACACAGUCUGCGAAU